rnacentral:rRNA from 1 species
UCGGGAAUUUUGGGCAAUGGGCGAAAGCCUGACCCAGCCAUGCCGCGUGUGUGAAGAAGGUCUUCGGAUUGUAAAGCACUUUAAGUUGGGAGGAAGGGCAGUUACCUAAUACGUAUCUGUUUUGACGUUACCGACAGAAUAAGCACCGGCUAACUCUGUGCCAGCAGCCGCGGUAAUACAGAGGGUGCAAGCGUUAAUCGGAAUUACUGGGCGUAAAGCGCGCGUAGGUGGUUUGUUAAGUUGGAUGUGAAAUCCCCGGGCUCAACCUGGGAACUGCAUUCAAAACUGACAAGCUAGAGUAUGGUAGAGGGUGGUGGAAUUUCCUGUGUAGCGGUGAAAUGCGUAGAUAUAGGAAGGAACACCAGUGGCGAAGGCGACCACCUGGACUCAAACUGACGCUGAGGCACGAAAGCGUGGGUAGCGAACAGGAUUAGAUACCCCAGUAGUCCCUGAGCGGGCUGGCAAGGCGCAU